rnacentral:rRNA from 1 species
AGAUUGAACGCUGGCGGCAUGCCUUACACAUGCAAGUCGAACGGCAGCACGGGAGCAAUCCUGGUGGCGAGUGGCGAACGGGUGAGUAAUACAUCGGAACGUGCCCAAUCGUGGGGGAUAACGCAGCGAAAGCUGUGCUAAUACCGCAUAAGAUCUACGGAUGAAAGCAGGGGAUCGCAAGACCUUGCGCGAAUGGAGCGGCCGAUGGCAGAUUAGGUAGUUGGUGAGGUAAAGGCUCACCAAGCCUUCGAUCUGUAGCUGGUCUGAGAGGACGACCAGCCACACUGGGACUGAGACACGGCCAGACUCCUACGGGAGCAGCAGUGGGGAAUUUGGAC